rnacentral:rRNA from 1 species
AGAAUCAACGCUGGCGGCGUGCCUCAGACAUGCAAGUCGAACGCGAAAGCCCCCUUCGGGGGGCAAGUAGAGUGGCGCACGGGUGAGUAACACGUAGGUAAUCUACCUUCGGAUGGGGAAUAACAAUCGGAAAACGAUUGCUAAUACCGCAUAAUGCAGCGGCACCUAAUGGUGACAGUUGUUAAAGCGGGGGAUCGAAAGACCUCGCGUCUGAAGAGGAGCCUGCGGCGGAUUAGCUAGUUGGUAAGGUAAUGGCUUACCAAGGCAACGAUCC